UUGAACAUCAGACUUGAUGUUUUGAGCUCUUCAGUUUUGGAACUCGGAUUUGCUUUCCUUGCUCCUGAGCCUGUAGCCAGCCUGUUGUGGGACCUUGUGAUCAUAGAUCUGCACCACUAUGGCCAUCACCCUGCCAAGAAACUGCAAGAUGGUUUGACAAAUUAAUUUAAAGACAGAUGUUAAUAUUUUAUAUUGAAUAUUUCAAAGAAAUGAUCAAAGGUAAGUUUCAUCUGAAUUUAGAGUGAAUGUAAUACAUUUUAGAUUUUUACCUUUAUCACAUACAUAAUUUUAAAUUUGAAAAUUUGGAUUUUUUUUUUUUUGCAUUUUAGGUUUGGGGCACAUGUGAAGAACACGCAAGAUUGUUGCAUAGGUACCCACGUGGCAGUGUGAUUUGCUGCCUUCCUCCCCAUCACCUAUAUCUGGCAUUUCCCCCAAUGCUAUCUCCUCCCAACUCCCCAGCCCCCACUGUCCCUCCCUGAUUUCCCC
rnacentral:lncRNA from 1 species